CGGACCUCAGAUCAGACAAGACCACCCGCUGAGUUUAAGGCAUAUCACUAAG
rnacentral:rRNA from 1 species